rnacentral:tmRNA from 1 species
GGGGGCGACUGGUUUCGACGGGGAGUUUGAUGACAGGGGUAGCGGGUCGAGGUGCUGUGGCCUCGUUAAACUACAGCAAGCACAUUAAGUGCCGAUAAUAAUUUAUACGCUGCUUAAUUUAAAGUAGCCGUCCAAUCCGGACUUAACCUGGGAGUGCGGUGCGGGCGUCAACUAAACCAGGGCGCUCACCGGCUAAUUCUCGGAGGCCGGUGCUAAGAUCAUCGAGAUAGCCGAAGUUCAGUUCGGCCGUAGACGGAACGUAGGCGAACUUUAAAUUGCGGUCUGCACCCGGAGAGACUCCUGUGGUCAUCUUUUCGGACGGGGGUUCGAUUCCCCCCGCCUCCACCA